rnacentral:rRNA from 1 species
ACGGAAGGCAGCAGCUAAGAAUAUUCCGCAAUGGGGGGAACCCUGACGGAGCGACGCCGCGUGGACGACUGAAGGCCGGAAGGUUGUAAAGUCCUUUUCACCGCAAGGAAAGUGGCGCGGAGGGAAUGCCGCGCCGUUGACGGUUGCGGUGGAAUAAGCGCCGGCUAAUUACGUGCCAGCAGCCGCGGUAACACGUAAGGCGCGAGCGUUGUUCGGAUUUAUUGGGCGUAAAGGGCGCGCAGGCGGCCGCGCAGGCGGGGCGUGAAAUACCGGGGCUCAACCCCGGUGCCGCGCCCCGAACCGCGCGGCUGGGGUCGCAGAGGGGCGGCAGGAAUUCCAGGUGUAGGGGUGAAAUCUGUAGAUAUCUGGAAGAACACCGAUGGCGGAGGCGUGCCGCCUGCUGAUGACCGACGCUGAGGCGCGAAGGCGCGGGGAGCAAACAGGAUUAGAUACCCUGGUA